CUUCUUCAGCCCAUGCCUCCGGUUUCAGAAAUUAGUUUGUUUAUUCUUCUAGCUUUGAGGAAUAGAUAGACAUAUCCCUCCAACGAGCCUUUGACAGAGGUGCCAAUCAGCACAGCCUGAAAGGGAACAAGGAGGGAUGGAAGACUCAGAGGGAGGAAAAGGAAACAUGGGAAAAAAAGGUUAUCGGGACAGGUAAAACUAUCUGUGGCUACAGAGCAGAGGAACUUGUAACUUACUGAAUCUUGAAAGAAAUUUCUCAGUGUGAGGUUGCUGUGGAAUGGCUGGAUACAUUUGGUAGAGCAGAUGUCUUUCUGAGGAUCUUCCCAGCUCACAAUGCCUCUCAUAGUGACAGGACCCUGACAGCCAUAUUUCUGUCUGGACACAAACCCUAUGGCUAUUGGUUGGGACAGGGCAAACUGAAGCUUAAGCACCACGUUGUCCUCAGCUCAGCAGAACAAAUGGAACAAGUGCUGCUGCUUUUGAAGAGCUAUUACCAUGAAGAUUCUUAUUUAAAAUAUACUCAGCAAAUUAUUUAUUCCAAAGUGGCAUAAAUUCAUUUAUGGAAGACAUUAAAAAAUAUGUUCAUUAUCUUAUUCUAAGCAUCAAUUAAUUUACCUAUUCAUGCAUAUAUUCAUUCCAGCAGUAUUUAUUGAGGGCCUCCUAUAUGCCAGACCCUGUUCUAGCUCCUGGG
rnacentral:lncRNA from 1 species